AUUUAUCCGGAUUUUGUUCAUCCGAAACUAAAUCACUAGUAUCAACAUCCGGUGUAAUUUUUGCUUGUAUUUUGGAGAAACUCGAUUGAUUUCUAGCAAACUUGGUUUACCACUACAUCGUCGCUUAUUAUUAUUUGAUACACUGUGUUUUGUGUGGAUAAGAAAUGCAGAGUGGUACCACCAAUCACCUAAGCCACCAUUCCCCUAACAGACAAUAGGCUCAUGGGGACAGUUCCUGCAAUUUACAGAAAAGCUCUCAAUUGUAGCCCUACGAACUUCAGAUACUGCUGAUGGUGAAGCUUGGGUGCACCGGGC